UUGGCCUCGAUCUUAAUCUUGCCUGCCGUUAAUGAUGUCACGCGGCUGUGUGUGUUGCUUGGAGUUUGCCUGGUAUAUUUUAGCUUGAUUUUUCGGAGUCUUUUUUUUCUUAUAAACUUUAUUUUGACGUAACUUGAAUCGACCGAGAGGCUGCAGAACUGGUGCUGAGAGUUCCUGGGCACUCCUCUCCCAGCUUCGCCUAAUGAAAGCAUCUUCCCUCAUCAGAGCACAGCCACCCAAGCAGGACGCUGGCAUCGGCACGAUAUCAGCAACGACGCAUAGACCUUAUUCGAAUGCCGCCAGUUUUUCCAAAGCCCCUGCUUUUAGGCACACUCAAGGCUAGGGGCACAGUCUUCCAGAUGGCAAAGUCUGCCCAAGCCUCCCGACACCCACUACGCGGUCCGAGGGCCCCCCGAGCCGCCCUCAGGUUGGACAGUUCGCUGAAGAGACGGAACUCACCGAAACCUGUUGGACUGUUGGUCAGGCUUGUUACGGGGGAGGAUACACAUCAGCGCCAGCCGCGGGGUGGACCGGCAGUGUUCCGAGAACAGAGUUUCUGGUCAUCCUCACUGAGCCCGACGGUGGUCUUGGGGAUCCCUGCCAUCAGUCCUGUGAAACUUGAUCACGUGUAGAGAUUGACGUGACCCUCGCUACAGUCAGGAUCCAGAACUGUCCCAUUUGCCUCCCGAACUCCUUCCUGCUCCCCCUCUUCCAGUCCCGCCCUCCUAACGCUGACCCCUGACAACCUGUCAUCCACUCUGUCACCUUGUCACUUCGAGGAUGUUAGUAUAGUUGGAUUGCAGAGUGAUGUUAGUUGCAGGUGUACAAGACGGUGACUCAGCACGUCUGUACGUCACCCCGUGCGCCUCAUGAGAGCAGGUUGCCUUCAGAGGGCGGGUGAGCCUCAUCCAGUCCCUUAAAGGCUUAAGAGAAGGGCCCGGGAUCCCGGAGGAGGAGGGGAGCCCGUCUCUGCCUGGAGCUGCCCGGGAGACCCCGCCUGCCCGAACACGGGGGACGGGCCAACCCGACAGUCGCGUGAGUCACUUUGUUAAAACAAGUCUCUCUUCCCUCCCCCUCCUGUUGGUUGGGUUUCUCUGGAAAAGGCUAAUAACUGGGGGGCGGGGGCGGGGUUACAGCCGUGGCCUCAUUUCACGAAAGCUGGGGCUCCACGGCUGGGUCUGCGUGGCCGGUUCCUGCCCCCUGUGGGCUCUGCAUUUUGGAGCUGGGCGGGCAGGCCUGUUGUAAGACCGGCCCCCGGGGCUCACGCUCAGGGGGCUGGCAAGCACCCCGGUCCCGGUUCCAGAGGGAAAAGGCCAGGCCUUCGCUGAGGCCACCGGGGCGUGACUCUCUCGCCCCAGAUGCGGUGGGUCGUGAACGAACGGCUGCGUGGGGAUCCCCCCGGGGCCACCCGUAGGAAAACCACUUACCAGGCGCCUGCAGAGCCCUUAACAAAAGGGUACAAAGCCCGCCACUUUACGGUCGGAGACACGAGGCCUCUUCCUCGUGCGGGGGCUGCUGUGGCACAAAUACAUGGGCAGACGUGGUUAAGAAAAAUCACUGUGAUUUAAUAAAUAGCAAGGUGUUGCUGUGCGGUCUCCAGAGCUCAGCCAGAGAGGCUGGCGUAGACGCGGGCCCAGGCUUCCUGCCGGUUUCCCAAGAAGAUCAGGUGAGGGACCUACCGCACGGUGUCCUAAAAGCGUGCCUCGGGAGGGGGGCUGGGGAGGGCCACAGUCACAUAAAAAUAUAGAUUAUUGAGGGGUUGGACGCAGGCGGGGGCCGCUAUGCAUCUUCCUGGUGAACCUGGGCUUUCUCGGCUCUGGAACAGAACUUUUCGCAUAGUUUGAGCAGCUCUGACAAAAUGAACACGGAUGAAGCCAGUGCGGUUAAAAGCAACAAGUCUGCAAAAAGGUGAAAAGAAAAUGGGGGUCAGAGCGCACGGUGCCACCCUGAGGCUCCCUUCCCUACGUCUCGGCUUUGGUCGCAGAGAGCCCAGAGGUGAGGGGCGAGGACCCGGGAGCCGAGGACCAGGACUUCCCCUCCUGGGAGGGACGGAUGUCCGUGCAGCUCCACAGGACCACCCCGUCCUUCCAGGGGGCUCAGGACUGGGGUGGGGGUGCGCUACCCCCUCCGGCAGUAACAGGACCCUCCCCCAUCCAUCCUGAGGGCAGACACCCCCCACCCCGGCCUCGUGCUCCGAGCAGUCGUGUCCAGCACCUCAGACCCGACUGUGUCAUGACCUGUGGCCAUGACCUACGCCGGCCUCCCCACCUGCUGGCUCCCACCACAUAAGUGGCUCGGGUCACUGCUAUUGCUCAGGUACCCUCCUCCCCCCACCCCUCCCCUCCUCCCACUUGUGUGCUCUGUUAGCUUCAGGCAAAGGCGGCCAGUCACCCCAGGCAGCUCACAAAGAAAAGGCUGGAAUCGCGUCCGCCUGGGCGGGGAGGCAGGGGAGCCCCAGGAUUCCACCCCGGGGCAGGUGGGCUCGGGGCCCUGGACGGCCGCGGUCAUUGAAUCAUGUUGUGUUUAGCCCGAGCUGCUGGGUGGCCCGCUCCCUGUCGUGGGGUCAGCGGGUGCCCAAGACCCAUGAGCCCCCUGCCAGCGGGGGCAGAAUGAGCCGGGACUGUCACCCGCCAUGGCACAGCCCCCGGGCCUUGCUGCGUCGCUCUGAGCCGCCAGCCCUGGGACAGGGGGGCCGGGAGGCCGUGUCCCCUUCUGCCCUCGGUGGCCCUCCCGGUGGAGAUGCCUCAUCCUCUGCUUCCCCGUGUACUCCAUGACCCCAUCACAUCGCCCUCCCGCCCCGUGCGGCCGGCCGGGCACACGUAGGGACUUCGCACCUGGAACACCGCAUGUCGGCGCCCAGGCGGCAGGUGCCGGCCUCUGCUGACCCCUCACGUCCCAGCCCACUCACCGAGGGCACCCAGGUUCUCCGUCUGGAAGAUCUUCUGCAGGGGCGGGAUGUAAAUCACGGCCAGCUGGCCCAGAAUGGAGCCCAGCACCGAGUACAGGAACAUGGGGUUCCGCAGAAAGCCGAUCUCAAAUAUCAGCUUGGUCUGUGGGAGGAGAAGGGCACGUGUCAGCCGGGUCACAAGCCACGGCUCAGACGGCAAUGCUUACAGAGGCCUACUCGGGCCGCGGCCGCACCAUUCGUCCCCGAGAGCGCGACUGGGUCCCGCCAGGAAGGGAGUGGAGGGCAGCCCAGGGCUCACCUGAGAGCGGCAGGUCAAGGCGUUGAAGAGGUCGAAGAACACAAAGCAGGACGGGGCUAUAGCUGCAUCCACUGAGUGUCACGGACAGAGGACGCACACCCUCCCUGGUGCUGCUGUAGGGACCUGAGGCAGAUCUCCUCCCGGGCCUGGCCUGGAGCCAAGAAGAUAAAGAGGGUCCCGCUGAUGAUGACAGCAGCCGACAGGAGGAUUUUCAGGAUCAGGGCUCUGCCGAGAAUCGUGUCCUUGACGUUCCGCGGUGGCUGUCGGAGGGCAUCUUUGUCAACCGGCUCUACCCCCAAGCUGCUCGGAACAAGACAGGGGAACCUUGACAUAAACCGCGAGGACACUUAAAGUGCUGAAGCUGUACAGGCUCUCAGGUCAGCCCCGAAGACACAGCAAAGAGGGGGCUUUGGCCAAGUGCCCCCAGGUCGUCGGCAGGAGCUCGGUCUGGUCCCACUCUUAGGGGGACUUCUCCGUCCUUGCUGGAAGCCCGCCCCUCACAUCCUCUGCCCUCGCCCUCCUUCCAGGGUCCCCACCCUCCACCCCACCGGCCUGGGCCCCAGGGGCAGCCACACACCCGUCCCUGAGCACGGCGGAGGAAAACCACCCCCCAGCCGACCACACCACCGUCCUGGAGCCACUCUGGGUCACCCCUCAUGAUCGCACAGCUUCCAUCACAAGGGGACGCCCAGCAGGCUGGAGAAACGGGGUCCAGACGCCGCCCCCCAGGGACCCGCCUUCAGCCGACUGCGCAACAGCGGGACUGGGGCUAGACCAGCGGAAGACGGGACGCGGGGCACCGAGGAGGAAGCCGGCUGCAGAGACGGCUGAGGCCAGCUUGCCUCCUGGCCCUGCUCCCAGCGUGUGAAGAGGGACCUCCCCCUGGGCCCGGAGGGACAAAGCGGGACUCCUGCCCUCAGCGGCGACAACUGUGAUAAUUCAUGGUGACAUAUAUGUAUCACAUUUAUAUCACACACACAUAUAUAACGAACAACAGCACGUACUGUGUGCUCGAACCCAGUGCCUCGCUCCUGGACGUCUGGCUCCCCGACUCCGAAGGUGGUUCUUCCUCCUGCCCGCUCAGCUACCCUCACCCUCCCUUCUCACCCAUCCACCCAGCAACUAACUCGCCGACCGCCUACUGUGUGCCAAGCACCGUCCCGGGAGCCGGGAAACGCUACAAGGAACAGAAACCUUGCCGUAGGGGAAACGGGUCAUAAUCAGAUAAACAAGGACAUACGUAUUUUCUCCUCUAGGGACAAAGACAGCAGGGUAAGGAGGGAGAGCCCGGGGGCUGCUGUUAGAGCGAUCACGGAGGACAUCUCCAAAGUGGGGACGUGAAGAGAGGGACCGAGGCGUGGAGUCACCCGGGGAGCACAUCCCCCCCUCCGCCGCCCGCCCCGGCUGCCCAUGCAGGUGCUUCCCCCCAUGCCCAGGGCAUCCCGCUGGCUGUCUUCCCCACAGUGCGCCACACUCCGGCUGUGCAGGACUCCCGGGGACGGUGUCCCGUACUCGGUGCAAGGCACCCGGGGCGGCAGAGUGGGCGGGCGGCGGAGCCUCGGGGACAGCCCGGCGCCUCACCUCUGCGCCGGUGGCCCGUCCAUGAUGAUGUUGAUCCACAGGAUCUGCAUGGCGUUGAGCGGGCUGGGCAGGUCGCACACGGUGGACAGAGUGAUGAGGCUCAAGGCCGAGAUGCUCCUGCGGGGCACACACCGGACACCGUCGAUGGCUGCACGCCGGACGCACGCGCGGCCCGACGGCCCUCGGAGACGCCGGCCUGGACUUACGUGCUCAGCUGAAACCGCACGAAGUUUUUGAUGUUAUGAAAAAUCCCCUUGCCUUCCUCCACCGCGUUCCUGCAAGAGGACAGAGCGUUUCUUCGCAGAGGGCCCGCUGGGAGCGUCCGGGCACCUCCGGCAGCCGUGGGAGGGAGCGCUGGUGUCACCGGAGGUGGCCCCGCACGCAGGCGCCCCUUCCCCUUCCCCUUCCCCCCGCUGGCGGCUCCAGGACAGAGAGGUACAGGAGGACGGUGGCCUGGCCAGCACCACCCGCCGCGGGGGCCUGGGCCGCAGGCCAUGAUCACCCUCUGGACGAAGACCAUAGAUCAUUCUCCCGCCUGAGCCCAGGGACCCCGCCCUCACCCGGGACUUGGGAACCCAGAGAUGCAGCUGGACGACAGGCACAGCAAGACAGAUCAAACCUGUUAAUUCGCCCCAGGGGUGUGGCGCGGUGGGGAGAGAAUUAGGAGGCUGAGAAGCGUCCUUGGUAUGUUCAGAAAACCGUAAAAGUCCUUUAAAAACCUUGAUCUUGAGUCACGAAUGCAGAAAACUGCCUAACCCUUUUUUUUCCGCUAAUUUUUUUUUUUUUUUUGCAAGAGAACUAAAAUUACGGAGUUAUUAACUGCAUCUCAGGACUUUUUUUUUUUUUUUUUAACUAAGGGGGAAGGGGGCUAAGGAUUCCUAGGGUGAGUCAAUCCAUUUACAAAGACAAGACUCCUCCGUAAAGUCAAAAAUCGCACCCAACUUCAGUUUUUGCUCAUUCAGAGUUCUGACAGCAGGCUUAAGAAAACUUCCGUGCCACCCCCAAUUAUUACAAUGGAUUAUGAAUAAAGUCUCGAUUAGAACGAAUUAAAAUCAGAGCUAGAGGGAAGGCAAGCUUGUUAAGAAAACAGAGAAAAGGGAAACAAGAAACCAGGUGUUUUGCAAUCUUGGGAGCUUGCGAUCACACGGGGGCCAACAAUUAGACGCUCCUGCCUCGUCGCUUUCAGCGCAUGAAACAUACGCAUCCCCACAAACACGGCCCUCCAGCCGCCCAUGCUCACUCUUAGCGUUUUUCACUUAACCCCACAAUGUGAGCAUUUCUCCGUCUUUAAAACGUUCCCCAAAACGUGAUGUUUCGUGGCUUUGUGGCACUCCCGCCCUUGCUGUCGGCAGUUAGGGUGGCCUAGGAUUUCCCCACAGACGGUGCUGCGGCCGACACACCGGAGCCCGCCUCCGUCUGUGCACCUGACCCCGGCUCGCCCGUCGGAUGCACCCUCAGGCCGUGGGGGGGGCAUGUCCCGAGGGGGGCAGCGGGUCACCGCGGGCAUUUCUGCCGCUGAAAACCAGCCACGGAGCCACUCACAUGAUGGCCGAGAAGUCAUCAUCCACCAGGAUCACGUUGGCAGCCUCUUUGCUGACAUCUGUCCCUGUCUGCCCCAUGGCGAUCCCGAUGUCCGCAGACUUCAGGGCGACCGCGUCGUUCACCCCGUCCCCCGUCAUGGCCACGACUGCCCCCGACUCCUGCAAAGCCUUUGGAAAGAGGAGACUGGGAAACUGAGGCCUGGAGUUCGGGAACAAGAAUAAUGCCAGGGCGCUCGACUAACAGAGACUGCCUGCUUUUUAGUUUGCCCUCCGCACCACCCAAUUCCUGCUCCUGCUUUUGCUGUACGUGGCCAAGGACAGCCCGUUCUCCCCUCCCCGGGGGCUGGGCAAAGGCCCCUCCUGGUGCAGCCGUCCCCGGCCUAGAGAAAGAAGCACGGCUUGAGGACGGCCGACGCUCCUGCCAGCUUGGACCCAGGACCUCCCCCCGGGGACAGAGCCACCGCCCUGGACUGGCCCCAACGGACGGACGCAUGAGGCACACAGCUCACCUUUAUGAUUUUGAGCUUGUGCUUUGGGCUGGUCCUGAAGAAGACAGAAACCUGGACGCGGAGGUGGAGAAGAGUCCGUGAACUUGGGGCUGAACCCCCCCCCCCCCCGCCCCACCCCGCCGAGCCCCCUGGGAGGACCCCACCUUCCCGACACAGCCAGCCAGCUCGUCCUGCCCCGUGCUCUCCACCUCCUCCCCGGACAUGGCUUUCAGCUUCCCGUCGCACAGGCCAAUAGUCCUUCCUGCGAGGUGCGGAGAGUCUGCUCUGAGGGCCCGCUCCCGCCCCUCACUCCCCCUGCCUGACAUCAGGCCCCGCCUGGGCCGCAGACCACGAGCACAGCAGAGCCGCGACGGCUACCCCCCCACCGAGCACCUGCUACGCGACACGAUCCCAAUUCCAUCCACAGAACCAAGGCCUUAUUGUCCCUGCUUUAACGAUGAGGAAACGGAGGGGAGUGACCUCCCCCAGGUCCCAGAGCUGCCGAGCGGCGAUGCUGGGACCUGACGUGGUUUUGUCUGAUUCUAGAGUCUGAUUUUUUCACAGCGCCGGGUGCCUUGAGACAGAGCAGGGAGAACCAAUCACGAGCAGCCCCGCGGGAGGGGACCCCUCCCCGCCCGGCGCCCACUGCGCCCCACUCACCUAUAGCAGAGGCGGUCUCCAGAGCAUCUCCCGUUAUCAUCGUCACGGACACGCCCGACUGGCGGAGAACCUGCACCGCUUCCUUCACGCCGGCCCUCGGAGGGUCGAUGAUUCCAACGAGACCCAGAAAAGUCAGCCUCCCCAGCUCGGGUCCGGAAGCCAGGGCCAGCACUGAGGAGACACCGAGAGCCGUGGGAGGUCCCCCGCGGGCCCCAGGGGUAGGAGGACUCUCUCUGUGAGCUCGUCCCGGCCUUGACUCUGUUUCGGGAAAACCCAAGGCAACUGACACCGGGCCCCGGGCUUCUCACUUUCCCCGGAGGGAACCCACGGGUUCCAGAGCGCUUCUCUGAAAACGGACAGGCACUGUGGGAAACCCGAGUUUCCAGCUCAUCGGGGAAGGCGGCGUCCCCGAUGCAGGAGACUGGAAACGGCCGAGGAAUGAAAUGUCUGCCUUGAUGCGAAAGAGCUUUGGGUUUUCCUGACCGUGGGCGACGAGCAGGACGACCAAUCGGGAAAAUCAGCGUUUCUGGGGCGCCUCAGUCACGUGUCGGGAAACCCACAGGCGCCGCGUCUGGACUAACGGGUGUCACAUGGUGGCAGAGGAAUCUUUAACAUCAGCUAAGCCCAUCUGGGAAAAGCAAAUGCCACGCUUCUCGUGAGUCAUCCUGAGCCAGCCUCGCUGCAAAGCUCAGGCCGCCUCCGUUAUUCAUUCGUCAAACCAUUUCCGGCAGGGGCAGGGCCAGCUGGUCCUGGCGACAGCUUCUGGCCAAAACGUGCUCAGAAACAAAAGCCCAUGGGCUCCCCUCCAGGAGGAAUGUUCCAGACUCAAAGAGGCACCCAGGUGGCGGUCCUUUAUUUCAGCCACUGCGGGGAAACUAGCAAGGGCAUGACAGUGGAGAACUGGUUCAGAACCACUGACCUCGACCCUGAGACGGGUUUGAGGACAGACAUGAUAAACACAGAGCGCCGAGCACCGAGCCUGCCACACGGUCACAGGAGGCACUUCAUACAUGUCAGCUGUCACCAGGCUCCCCUACUGGUUCCGGCCCACAGAAGAGUAAAUCGUGACCCGUAAAGGAGAGGGGGUUCUGGAACAUCGGUCCUCUCUGGGCUGCACGGGAGGCAGGCAGCGGGAGCAGGGGUGGAGACCCCACACCGGGGUUCUCUCCUGCUGGGACAGUCAGGCCACUGUCCCCGUCCCGGACGGCAGCCUGCGGUUGAACAGGGCCAGCUGGGGCCCUUUCGGAAGAGGCAGUAAGGUCUAGUCGGUAUGACUGUCAUCCUGGAAAGAAUUUUCUUCCCUGAGUGUAACAGUUUCUUAACAUAGCUUGUUUACAGUUA